UACAGCCAUGUCACAUUGAAACACUGGUUCUCAUAUGAACAUCAAAAUUAAGCAACGUUGAGCUUGGUCAGUACCUAGAUGGGUGACCACUUGUGAAUACUAGGUGCUGUAAG